rnacentral:tRNA from 1 species
GAGGCUGGGGCUCAGUGGUAGAGCACUUGCCUAGCAUGUGUGAGGCACUGGGUUCGAUUCUCAGAACCACA